GUCCUGCCCUUCCGGGGCUCAGCAGGAAGCUGCUGCUUUGGCCUUGGCCGCAGAGGUCCCCGUCUUGCUGGCUUCUUCACUCUCUAACCCUCCACUGCACCUCCUCCUCCCCUGGGUCUACGGGCCCUCCGGUGAGAUUCCCUUCUACUGAGGAGCAAAGGCCGGUGAGGAGGACAGGACUUUUGGCAGCAAAUGGGAACUGAAGCGAGGAAAGCAUGCUGCAGAAAAGUGAGAAAAAGACAGGAGGGCGGAGGGUGGAGCCCAGAGCCGCCCUUCCCUCGGAGCAGCUCGGCAGCACCAAGCCCCACCCCUGCCUAAGGGUGUGCAAUUACAGUGCUGGUGGCUGUUCCAGGCACGGUGAGUGUUGGCGCUCUUGGCAGAGUGCUCAGCAGCGCGGCACAUAAUCCCUCCGUUGUUCACUUACGGCAAGCGCGCAGAAAGGACCUCCGGGUAGCAUCCCAAUUUACCUUCUGGAUUGACUUUUCUUCCGUGAGUGCUGUCAACAUGUCACUUUAUGCUGUACCAUGAAGCAGACUUUCUGGUACCUGAUGGCUGUAAAUCCGUGGAGGUGUCUAGAGAUGUUUUCCAGAGCAAGGGUCAGAGUUCCUUUUGUUAAUUCUCCCUGGCCUGCUUCCAAGCUGCUGGGUGUGCUACCCUACACUUGACUACCCAGGAUAUCAAUCAGAAUUGUUUGCUUAAGAAAAAUACCUGAGAAUUGUCA